rnacentral:lncRNA from 1 species
UGUUGUAUAGGGUUAUGAGCAAUAUUGAUAGCUGACUUGUUGUCACAAUACAGCUUCAUAGGACCAUCCCACUUGAUUCUCAAAUCAUCUAGAAUAAUCUUCAGCCAAAGUAGUUCACACAACCCUUGAGCAAUGGCCCUAAACUUUGAUUCUAUAGACGACCUUGCUACCACAUUCUGCUUUUUACUUCUCCAUGUUACCAGAUUUCCUCCAAGAAAAGUACAAUACCCUGUAGUUGAUCUUCGAUCCACUAGGGAACCUGCAUAGUUAGCAUCGGUGUAUGCUUCUAGAGCAAGAGUAUUGUUCUUCUUGAACAUAAUUCCUUUCCUGGGGUUGCCUUUCAAGUAAUGUAGCACCCUGUAAACAGCUUGAAGAUGAGGUUCUCUUGGAUCAUGCAUGAAUUGACUAAUCACGCUCACCGAGUAGGCGAUGUCUGGCCGAGUGUGAGCAAGGUAUAUGAGUCUACCAACCAGCCUCUGGUACAUUCUUUUAUCCACCAUUGGUUCCUCUUUAGCUUCUCCCAACUUGUGGUUUGGAUCCAUUGGGGUAGAGACUGGUUUACACCCAAUCUUCCCUGUUUCUACCAAUAAAUCAGUCACAUACUUUUGUUGAGAGAUGAAGAUCCCUUGUGUGGAAUUUGUCACCUCAAUACUGAGGAAGUACUUCAGUUUCCCUAGUUCUUUUAUCUCAAACUCUGUUGCUAAUCUCUACUUCACUUCAUGCUUUUCUCUCUCAUCAUUUCCAGUCACUAUGAUGUCGUCAACAUAGCCUAGAAGAGCAGUUACUCCCCCUGUAGCCGAGUGCUUAAUGAAGAGAGUGUGGUCACCUUGGCUUUGUUUGUACCUAGACUCUUUCAUGACUUUUGCAAAUCUCCCAAACCAAGCCCUGGGAGAUUGUUUUAGCCCAUAGAGGGCCUUCUUCAGCUUGCACACCUUGUUACCUGUGUUUUCCUCAAAUCCUGGUGGGAUGUUCAUGUAAAUCUCUUCAUCUAAAUCACCAUGAAGAAAUGCAUUCUUAACAUCAUACUGUAGGAGUUGCCAAUUGUAGUGGGCAGCCAGUGACAACAGGAUUCUUACAGUAUUCAUUUUUGCAACUGGAGCAAAAGUCUCCUGAUAAUCAACUCCAUAAGUUUGAGUGUACCCUUUGGCUACCAAUCUUGCUUUAUGUCUCUCUAGAGAUCCAUUAGCCUUAUAUUUCAGUGUGAAAAUCCACUUGCAAUCAACAAUGUUUUUCCCUUUCGGUCGUUCAACAAUCUCCCAUGUUUUAUUCUUUUCUAAUGCACUCAUCUCCUCUCUCAUAGCAUCCUUCCAUUCCCUUUUUGUCAAUGCCUCAGAAACAGUGUUAGGAAUGAUAGUGGUGUUUAGACUCACAAUAAAAUUCUUGUGGGCUGGUGAUAGGUGUUUAAGAGACACAUAGUGUGAUAGUGGAUAAAGUGGUCGGUUAGUGCAUUCUCUGGUGCCUUUUCUGACAGCAAUGGGAAAGUCUAGGUCUAGGUUGUCUGUUGAGUCAAUGGAAGUUUCACCAGGUUGUGUAUGUAAAGGUGGGUCUGAUCUUACAAUGGGAAGGUCUAGGUCUAGGUUGUCUGUUGAGUUAGUGGAAGUUUCACCAGGUUGUGUAUGUAAAGGUGGGUCUGAUCUUACCGUGAUUUCAUUCCCAAGGUCUGAGUUGGAUUCUUGGACCUGCUUUUGUUCUGGAAUGGCCUUUUCCCUUGAAUACACCUUAGGAAACUGUGGAAAAUUGUGAGUGACACUGGCUGGAACAGAGGAUGACACAGGUUCUUCAUCACCAUGGGUUGAGACAUGAGGAAGAUCAAGAGGUUCAAAGGACACAUAAGGACUAUCUUCCAU